rnacentral:tmRNA from 1 species
UAAUGUGUUCAAAAAUGGACCUUGAAACCCGUGAAGGUGGUGGUUGCCAGCAGGUUUCAAUUCUCAUGGUCACAUCUGACAGAGAAAAGGAACAGUAUGAGAAAUUUAUGAACAUACUUAAGAAUCUUUCAAAUUGUACUGAUAUAUCUCAGGUCGUGGCAGAUGCUAAAAAAAUCUAUGAUUCCAGGGAAUUUUGUUAUGUGCCUGCCCUUCUCACUCUGUUCAAGAAGUUGCCUUCUGUUCAUAAAUGGCCUGAAAAUGAAAACUGUAAUGAGGUGCUAAGUGCUGCCUUCUUUGUGUGCCAGCUCUUAUUUUUUCAUAACUUCCCAGCCUCACCAGCUUUUACAGUGGAUGAAAUGUUUGCAACAGUGGCUGCUAGAUUGAAGGAUCUGAUAGAAUAUUCAUGUGACUGUGAGAACUGUGAAUUGUUGGCUGAAUCCCUGACAAAUUAUAAGUUUUCCCUGGUACCUAUAAAGAUCAGGCCACACACCGAUACCUGUGUCUCACUGAAAACACUCCAGCGGCUACGGACUGCCAUGUUAGGCAAUCCUGAAACCCUGAGUAUUUGGACCCUUGAUGACCUGGUGGAGGACCCAGUAGUCUUCAAAGGCUAUGAAAGCGCAAUUAGGAGAGAAUUUGCUGAGCAUGUCACAUGUUUGAACAUGUGCUGGGUUGUGAAGAUAAUCUUGGACUGCAUGUCUCAGCCAACAGCUCUGCUUCGGGAUUGUAUUCAGAAGGGUGCAAAGAAUAAUGGACUCCAGCUGGACACUUCGAGUACCUGGACGUGGCCAGCAGCACGUAUUGCUGAAAAGGAAGUCAUAGAACAUACCAUGAGUGUUUGUGUACAGGAUAUGACUAGAAGUCAUGAUCAGGAAUUCUACACAGAGGCCUUUAAGGAAGAUCUCCAUAUAGGAUUAAAGAGACUAGUUGCCAUGGUCCUUGGGCAGAAUCAUAGUUGGUUAGAUGGCUUUCUGACAGACACUAUAGUGACAGGUAAAGCAUAGCCUGGGGCAUAGUUCUUUGAUGAAUCAUCAUAAAUAUGAUGGCUAAUGUGGUCCUUUUGUGUAUUAAUGCAGAUAUGUUUAUGUAUCCAGGUGUGUUGCUUGAAAGGUAUUUUGCUGUACUAACCCAACACCACCUAUUUAUCAUGUUUGGAAGCCUAUUAAAAACUGUGCUAUUGAC